rnacentral:rRNA from 1 species
UACCAGCACCCCGAGUGGUCGGGACGAUUAUUGGGCCUAAAGCAUCCGUAGCCGGUUCUACAAGUCUUCCGUUAAAUCCACCUGCUUAACAGAUGGUCUGCGGAAGAUACUAUAGAGCUAGGAGGCGGGAGAGGCAAGCGGUACUCGAUGGGUAGGGGUAAAAUCCGUUGAUCCAUUGAAGACCACCAGUGGCGAAGGCGGCUUGCCAGAACGCGCUCGACGGUGAGGGAUGAAAGCUGGGGGAGCAAACCGG